UGCAGGAUUCGGUUGCUGUUCCCCGUUCCAGCAGAGGAUUGUGAUCUGAACAGGAGAAGAAUGAAGACAGCCAAAGAGAAAGAUCACACCUAAAUAAGACAGAGCUGUGCACAGGGCAUGAAAGAAAAGCAACCUGGGAAUGAGGAGCCCUUGGUUUCAUAGGAAACCCAGGUACCCUUCUAAGUACUGGAAGAGUUUCAAGGCCAGAAGAUCUGGGCUCUCUUCCUGGGCCGCAGCAGGGAGCCAUCACACAAUGUUUCCCAGUUCUCGACCCUAGAGAAGACAAAUGAGACAGGUUUGGCUGGAGGGAAGGAGAUGAUGAGGAUGAAGUUGCAUGAAGAAUAAAACCACACAGAGGACUGGGCAUGGUGACAGUACACGAGACAGGCAGUUCUGAUGUGGUCAACAGGAGCUGUAAGUCAAGGUACCCCGAGUCCAGCUUGUUAGCCUCAUCUAGACACUUGAAGGCUCUGGAGCUGCUGUGGAGAGUUUUGCUUUAUAGCCCAGAAUGGCCUGGAAGUCAUGACCCUUCCACCUCAGCCUUCCGAGUGGUUGGGUUCAUAGAUAUAUACCGGCACACCUGACUCCUGCACAAGCGCAUCAGUUAAAAGCACUAGCUGCUUUUCCAAAGGAUCUGGCUCAAUCUCUAGCACCCACAUGGUGGCUAACAACCAUCUACAGCUCCAGUUCCAGAGACCACCACCCUCUUCUGUCUUCUGUGUGCACCGUAUGCAUGUAAUGUACAGACACACAUACAGGCAUAGCACCAAUACUCAAUAUAAUAUGGAUCCAGCUCUCUAGUCCUUUCAGCAAACCCAUUGGCAGAAGAGGGGACACGCAAGAAAGGCCAAUGACACUAGGGCCUGAUGGAAAAGGAAAUGAAGACAAGGAGUAACCAGGAUUAGAGGAAGCCAGGGGAGAGGAGGUGACUGAGAAGGAGGAAGGAACACUCUGGAGAGAUGGUGAAGGCUCCUUUCUCACCUUCCUAGUUUGAGUUCUAGGAAAGUUCCUAUAGAGAUCGACCACUGGCCACCAUGGUGACUACACAAGCCUUGUCCCCAUGAACUACCAUGGACCCAUGUAAUAAUCAUGCAGCUUUGUAGCAGAGUAUUGAAUGCCAACGGGAAAGCUCACAGCAAACCAGCGGGGAGGCAUGUGCAAUGUGAUCCGUCUUUCUUCAGUUCUCACUUGGAAUAUUUGGUGACUCUUCUGUUAAAAAUAUUGCUUAGUACUUCGAAGAAAGCAUAGGAUGCAUUUCUUUGGAAACAUCUCUGAUAGCAAUGAAACGAAGACAGGAGGAAGUUGGCAAGGCACAAAAUAUUCAAGCAGAUGUUUCCAUUUGGAGGACAGUCUUCUAUGUAAGGAUAUAUAAGACCUCAAGUGAUAAAACAACAAAACCCCAGACCCCCCAACAAUGAGACUACCCACAGACAUCCUAAGUAUAUGCUGGCAUUUGUCAUCAAGACAACCUGCGCACAUAAACCUGACAUUCAACUUCUGACGGAAUGCCAGGUACAGACUCUGGGCAAGGCAUAUCCAUGGAUGGUGGAAGCCCAUUCCCUGCCACCCCCAUGGAAACUCUUGAAACUUAUUUUAUAUUUCAACCAAUCCACAGUAACACAAAUACCCAAUAUAACUUCCUACAAUUAUUCCAUUUUGCUUGCAAGACUUUGCAAACCCUUUGUAACCCUGGCUAGUCCACUGGAAGGGCUGUAAACCCUGGCUAGCCCACCGGGACAGGGCUGUAACCCUGGCUAGCCCACCGGCAGGGCUGUAACCCUGGCUAGCCCACCGGCAGGGCUGUAACCUUGGCUAGCCCACUGGUAGGACCUUUGCAACGAAUGAAGCCUUGAGACUUCAUGGCUCACUUCCUGAGUAUUAUCACAGUAAAACUGACAGAAGACAAGGUAAACUCUUUGUACUGAAGGAUGUUUCAACUCUUUUACUUAAAUAACCUUCACCAGAGAAAAAGGGUGAAAAAGUUGAAGGCCAGGCAUGGUUGUGCACACCUUUAAUCCCAGUACUUGGGAGGCAGAGGCAGGCAGAUCUCUCUGAGUUCGAGGCCAGCCUUGAUUCAGGACAAUCAGGGUUACAUGGAAAACCCUGAAUAGAGGGAAAAAAGUUUGGCUCCAUAGUCUGAAGAGAGCAACCAAGAAUAUGGUCAUAAUUCUGCUCUAAUCUGCCGCAGCUGCGAGUAGUGAACAAGGAAAAUGCAGUUCUGUGGACUGGGCACACUUUCGUGGCCAAUCUCAAACAAAUCCGGAAUUAAGAUGUAUCCCUUGCCAUACUAGGACAAUUCCAAAAUUAUCAUUCAAAGCAAUAGUAAAUUAUAGACGGGUUGUUUCACAACUUGAAAGUCAAUAAAAUGUCCAAUUGUUUACAUGCAAAAUAUACAUAGAAAAGAGGGAAAGUCUAAAUAAAAAUGUUGAUGGUGAUUCAACAGGCUGAGUCAGAAAGGCUGAUUGUAUUGUAUUGUAUUUUCUUUUUAUGGCUUUCUGUAUUUUCAAGAUAGACAAUAUGAAGAGGGUCAGAGGUUUUCAAUUGUUCUUAAAUUUCUCUUUUGUUACAAGUACUUCAACAUGCUUGUCACAUUCUGAAUAAGACUAUGACAGAGAGGUGGGACAGCGUCUCCUGGGAAGAGGUCAGCUUGCCCUACACCAGUCCUUACGUUGUCCCUGUGCUGUGAAAACCCAACAGCAUCAAGGACAAAGCAAAACCCAACUCACCCCGCCCACUACAACACAACAAGCAAACACACAACCCUCCCAAAACCUAAUGUAAAUAAAGGGCUCUGAAGUUGAAUCAUGGAAGGACAUGGUAGACUCGACUCCAUGGGGAGAGCUUACAGUGCUUUGAGGGGACAGCCUUGUGCUGCUGGACUAUUUCUGAGAUGACAGAACAGGCCUAGGGUUGAUAUGUGACACAUGGAGAGAAGACAGGACAUUCCAGGAGCUGAUAAAGUGCCAGAGUGAGAGUAAAAGCCCAAGUCUCCUCAGUGCAGGUAAGACUGGAGCACCUAGUCAGGCUUCAGACAGGACUGGAGCACCUAGUCAGGCUUCAGACAGGACUGGAGCACCUAGUCAGGCUUCAGGCAGAACUGAAACACCUAGUCAGGCUUCAGACAGGACUGGAGCACCUAGUCAGGCUUCAGACAGGACUGGAGCACCUAGUCAGGCUUCAGACAGGACUGGAGCACCUAGUCAGGCUUCAGGCAGAACUGAAACACCUAGUCAGGCUUCAGACAGGACUGGAGCACCUAGUCAGGCUUCAGGCAGAACUGAAGCACCUAGUCAGACUUCAGGCAGGUCUGGAGCACCUAGUCAGACUUCAGGUAUGUCUGGAUACUUAGUCAGGGUUCAGGCUGCAGUAAUACAAUAGGUGGCAUGCCACAGAGUCUGUGAGAAAAGCCACCCAAAUAUUUACAAGAAUCAAGAUGUGUGCAGGUGUGGCUGAGUGUUCCUUAACAAAAAAUGCUUGGGGGCUGGAGAGAUGGCUCAGUGGUUAAGAGCGCUGCCUGCUCUUCCAAAGGUCCUGAGUUCAAUUCCCAGCAACCACAUGGUGGCUCACAACCAUCUGUAAUGGGGUCUGGUGCCCUCUGCUGGCCUGCAGGCAUACAUGCAGACAGAAUAUUGUAUACAUAAUAAAUAAAUGAAUUUAAAAAAUGCUUGGGACCAGAGGUGUUUUAGAAUUUGAGACUUUUGGGUCUUCUAAUGUUUGCGUAAACUUACUGGAUGAACAAUUAUAAUCUGAAAGUAAAAAAUCUGAGACCUUUAGAAGAAUAUCAUAUUCAUGUUCAAGGUAUCUGGAUUUCAGGACAUUCUAGAGUGUGUGUGGGGGAGCGGGAGAUACAUGCGUGUAACAUGGGAAAGCCAGAGGACAACCUUAGUGUCAUCCUUAGGAGCUGUCCACCUUAAUUUUUGAGACAGGAUCUCUCAUGGACGUACAGUUCACCAAAUAGGUGAGGUUGACCAAUGAGCCUUAGGGAUCUGCUUAUCUCUGUCUGCCCAAUGCUGGACACAAGUGCCUGCCACUGCCCUGACAUUGAACUCGGAUUCUGAGGAUUGAACUCGGGCCCCCAUCCUCAGCAGCAAGCGCUUUACUGAGCCGCUUCCCCAGGCGAGACUCUGGGAUUUUCGAGAUGCUCAACUUUGUCUUUCUCCUUAGUUAGAGACUGGGUUCACGGAGAAACCCAAGGGAGGUGGGAUAGUCUGAGAGCUCCGUGCUACUGAAACAGGCCUAACGCAAAGG